CUCUAUUUUGUGGAGAGAUUUAAUUGUAUCGGAUAAUUAUGAGAAGCUUAUUUUUGACCAUUUCACGGGCACAAUUAAGUGUUGAGUUGGAAAUGGGGCUUAUAUACCUUUGUGGUUUUACGACACUUAGAUUGCGACCCUUCCAUUAAAACCGUCCUCCUUUAACAUUUGGGACAGUUGCCACGACGGCUAAGGACUAGUGUCGUAGCUUUUUAAACAAAAAAAGAACAUUUCAUUUGCAAAUGAGGUCCACGACGAUUGCUGAACUGCCCUCCAACCCUUGUUGGGACGGUUUUACAACAGCCGCAUCCUUCCCCUUAAAAUUUCCUUACUUUCCAAACCUUGUCUUCACACAAAUCUCAAAUUCACGUUCAUCAAACUCUUAUCUCAAAAUCCGCAUGUCUCAUAAAACUAGAAAUCCAUAAUAUUUCUUUUCAAAGAACAAUGAAGAUUAGGUCACAAUCAAUUUCAACAAAGAUUAGGUCACAAUUAGUUUCAACAAGUAUUAGGUCACAACCAGUUUCAACAAAGAUUAGGUCAAACCUCAUUCAAUCAUCUUCGACAAAGAUUAGGUCACAUCGCUGUUCAAUCAACUUCAAUUAGAUCUUAAUUUCAAACCGGGUUAAUUUCAUUCAAGUUUGAUUCAAUCAAGCUUGAUUUCAAUCAAUUUCUUAUGAUGAUUUCAAUCUGCACAAACGAUGAGGAUGCGGCAGGUAAAUAACGAAUCCAAUUCUUCAAUAUUAUUGUUUGGUGACAAAGCUUUCUUCUCUUACUGUGUUCCAUAUUUAAAUCUAUUUUUUCCAUCAAAAGAUUUAUUUUAUGGUUUUAUUGGAGACAAAAAACGUGAAAAGUAUAAAGACCAUAAAUAAUCGUUGAUACUCGGGUGAUGAUGUUAUUAGCAAGAUGACUCUAGAGGAGAAAAUUCGUCAAAUGUUACAGGGAAAAACAAUAAUGAUUUUUUUGUUUCCUUUAUUUUCUAAGGUAUUAUAUAAGUUCAAUUAGGUACUAAUGGAAAAUACUUGUCUUUUUGUUAGGGAGUGUUAUGAGUGAGGGAGGAAGUAUUCCAAUUCCAAAAGUUUCUGCUGAAAACUAGAUUUAAAUAACUUCCUUGGCCCUUUCUUAUUCGGUGUUAUGCUAGUUCUUAUGGUCAUUGGGCUGAUUCGGGUUUUCUUUCCAUUGGAUAAGAUAUCUACUAUGAUCUAUGUUUGCUUGGCAGCAAUUAUAUUUUGUGCCUACAUCCUGUAUGAUACAGACAACUUGAUCAAGAGAUACUCCUACGAUGAAUUUAUUUGGGCUUCUGUCUCUUUGUAUUAGGAUAUGAUCGACCUUUUCCUCUCUUUGCUCACUAUUUUCAGAGCAGCUAAAUAGUUGAUAUCCUUGUUUUUCUUAGUACAUACUACUGGUUUACUCUGGGUGGUGGGUGGUUUUGAAAUUGAAUUCUUAUCUGCUAAUAAAUAUUUAUAGCCUCCCAGCUGCCUUGUUCCUUGUACUAGAUUAUUGUUGUUAAGGCUGUUAGAAGGAUACUUUAACAACCAGGUUUGGAAUUAUAUUUUUUAUGGGAUUGAUUAUAUUCAUGGCCAUAACUCUGUUUACAAAGAAACUAAUUUUCCUUACAGUACUGGCCUCAUAGUUACUAGGUAUAUGUGCAAAUGUUUGAUUGUUGGUAAUGUUUGUUUGGAGUUAAAUGUGUUAUUGUUUUGUGACUUGUCGAUGAAUGUUUGUUUGUGAAGGAUAAACAAUAGCUUCUACCAAGUUAUAUUUUUAUCAUUGAAGCUAGGAAACAAGCUUUGAGGAACACAAAUUCCCUUUCUUUAUAAUGUUGAGGUGAAUAUGCGGCUUGUUGAAAGGAAGCAUAAUUGUUGAAAUUAUGCUAGAAGAGUUGGAGCAAAAACCAAUUGAGUUAGUACCGAGUGGGUUAUUGUUCCUAGGUGAGGAGGGCGUCCGAAUUUGGUAGUGGAUAGUUCCCUUUUCAAUUAUUAAUUCCAUUCAUAAUUUGUUAUUUCAUAUAACAUCUUUAGUGAAAAUAAUUAAGUGAAAUGGUCAAAUAGAUUUCAAGGUGAGAGUAUCAAAGAUGAAAUAACAUAUAUAUAUAGAGGCAACACCGAUCAACAUGACAUGGUUACCGAUUUCAUUUUAUCCAUGAAUUGAUUAUCUUAUCUAAGCUAAUAUAUCCCUCUAAUAUCAUAGUUACCACGUGGCACAAAUCUAUCGUUGAUAUCAAAUUCCAUGGCCACUUAAUAAUUUUUUUGGCUAAAGUGUGUUAGCCUUUGAAAUUCUAACUCAUAGAGAGAUAACAAUGACAAAAUAUUCAUUCUCAAAAUGACAGGGACUGCUUUCUACAUCUAUUGCUGGUAACUCCUCUUCUCAACUUUAAUUUUUCCAUAACAUGUUCAAUUGUAAGAAUAUCAACAUUAAAAUUUAUGUUGUUAAUUUUUGUUUGAAUAUGAUUGGGAAUGCUUUCAAUGGUUUUACUUAUGAGAUCUCAGUUUGACUUUUUAAUGCUUUUAGUUUAUAGUUUCUUUUUAUAGGCUAUUCAUAGUUUCUGUUAGGAUAAAGAAUUAUGGCUAAUCAUGUUAAUUAAAUUAGUUAUUAUAUUAUUAUACUUUAUGGUGUACUAUAGAAAUAACUUAUACAUCAACGUUUAAUAUGAAAAGCCUUUUGUAAUAAGCUGCAAAUUAAGAUGCUUAUGCAAACAUGGCUUAACUCUUAUUGUUAGAAUUAUUGUUAGUUUUUUUUCAAGUAUAUAUACACACUAAUAAGCAUGCUAGAUAAUAAUAUCCUAUUGUUUUAAUGAAAGUAGGGAAUGGUAGAAAAAUUUUAAUGGCUUACUGAAAGCAGGGCAUGGUAGAUAAUGAAGUCUGCAGUAGUGGUGUAAUAUAUAAAAAGUUACAACUCAAAACUGACAUUUAGUUGAGUUGUUUCUUUUUGUAUUAAAAGGAUGCUAGAUUUGGAUUUCCACCAGGAGGAAAAAAUAGUGUCCCAUUCUUCAUGCCUCUUCAAACUCAGCCGAAUAUUAAUUCUGCGCAGAAUUUGAUGAUGCUUUUUUCAAGCUUCUCUUCAAUUAGAUACAUCUCACCUUAGGUUUGUUUUAUGUAUUUUGAUAUAUGGAAGUGUUGCAAUCAUUGGAUUUCUCACAUUUGGCGACAACACUUUGUCUCACAUAAUAUUGAAUACGUGUCUGGUGCAUUUGCUUCCAAAGUUUCAUUAUGGACAACAAUUAGUUUGAAAGUUUAGUAGCUUCUCAAUUCUAUCUUAAUAGUUUGAUUCUAGAGAAUAGGUUAUUUAUUUCAGAUGAUGUUUUCCUUGAUAUAUUCUAGAGAACAAGUAACUCUAAAGAAUAAGUUUUAAUGUUUUUAGUUGACAAGUUUAGUAGAAGAAAAUUCUCUC